AGCGAACGCUGGCGGCAGGCUUAACACAUGCAAGUCGAGCGGGCGUAGCAAUACGUCAGCGGCAGACGGGUGAGUAACGCGUGGGAACAUACCUUUUGGUUCGGAACAACACAGGGAAACUUGUGCUAAUACCGGAUAAGCCCUUACGGGGAAAGAUUUAUCGCCGAAAGAUUGGCCCGCGUCUGAUUAGCUAGUUGGUGAGGUAAUGGCUCACCAAGGCGACGAUCAGUAGCNGGUCUGAGAGGAUGAUCAGCCACAUUGGGACUGAGACACGGCCCAAACUCCUACGGGAGGCAGCAGUGGGGAAUAUUGGACAAUGGGCGCAAGCCUGAUCCAGCCAUGCCGCGUGAGUGAUGAAGGCCCUAGGGUUGUAAAGCUCUUUUGUGCGGGAAGAUAAUGACGGUACCGCAAGAAUAAGCCCCGGCUAACUUCGUGCCAGCAGCCGCUGU
rnacentral:rRNA from 1 species